rnacentral:lncRNA from 1 species
GUGGUUUUGGUUGGUCUUGGCAUGGCUUCCAGGAUAGCACCGACAAAGAUAGUUGCAGCAUACAACAAUAUGACAAUUUCUGCCACAUAAAGUAUCAAUCCUUUACUGCUAAUCUCUGGACAAUACGGGGAAUGCGUGUUGAUGCCAAAGAAAUCAUGGGCUUCUAGCUUGUACCGCGAAGAAAGUCGAAUCAAGUUCCUAUUUUCAUCUUUGUAUCGCCGCUUUCUGUUGUAAUAAGCUUAUCGUUCAACACUGCAUAAUAGGCUUCAGUGAAAAUUUC